AUUCGCACUAUCGCUAUCUUCUCUUUCUUACAUGUGUCAUAUUCAGCUUAGUUAGAAACGUAAAUAAAUACGUACUUUGACUCAUUAAUUCGAUACGAAUGUCAAACAUCAUACAGAAAUUCAUAAUUUAGUUAAUUUUGAUUAAUAAUUUGGAGAAUUGAUAAAAGUGCCAUCUAUGGAAAAAAUGCCAAACUAGUAAGUACAUCAUCGAUAUUCGUGUGCUGCCGUGAGGUUGGUGUAGGAACUACUUCGUAGUUUGUUUGAAAACAAAACAGUUUAUACUAUAAAAGCUUAGUUAGAAACGUAAAUAAAUACGUACUUUGACUCAUUAAUUCGUUACGAAUGUCAAACAUACAGAAAUUCAUAAUUUAGUUAAUUUUGAUUAAUAAUUUGGAGAAUUGGUAAAAGUGCCAUCUAUGGAAAAAUGCCGAACUAGUAAGUACAUCAUCGAUAUUCGUGUGCUGCCGUGUGGUUGGUGUAGGAACUACUUCGUAGUUUGUUUGAAAACAAAACAGUUUAAACUUGAGCUUUACGCGGAAUUUUGUUAUGAUUUGUUUUCUGAGUGCAAGUAAAUACUUAAAUUGUGAUUGUAACUGUAAAUUAAUUAUUAUUAUGAAAAUUUGUGGCAGUAAACUCUGUGCUUGUGGUAUUUAAUGAAUUAAAUACGUGAGAAAUCCACGUUGUCGUUUAAAGAAAACAUUUUAAAGACGGAUGUGUGUGUGUGUGUGUUUGCCCGGAUUAGGCGUAACCCAAAAAGGUAAUUUUAUUCGUUCUUGUCAUAAUAAAAGUAUUGUAACUAGUUGUAGUUGCAGGUUGUGUGCACACAGGUUAUGAAAUGCGUUUUCUUAUUUUCAAAUUAAAUGGAGUAAAGAACUUAAUUUGGUACCUACAAUGUUAAUUAAAGAUUUAUUGCGAUUAUUUCGUAUAAAAUACGGAUUGGUGGACGAUGAUGCACGUAUAAUCUUAUUUUGGGUCUAGUUAGGUUAUAAGAAUUGGUAUAAUAGCUACCAAUUCUUUUCCCAUUUUGCGAACCAAAACAGAAGAGCGGCAACGUCGCGUCGUAGUGCAGUCAUUGACCCGUGUCGUGUUUACAAAGAGUGGUUACAUUUGCUCAAAAAGAAAAAUGCAAUUUUUGGCUUAACUACUGGGCCAUUUUGGCUCAUUUUUUUGCACAUUGUCAGUAUAGACGAUAAUAAAUAUGGUAGAAAAAAAAAUUGUAUAAGAGUCUUAUCCAUACGGUAUAA